CAGUCGCCACGGGAAUACGAAGGGUGCAAGCGUUACUCGGAAUUACUGGGCGUAAAGCGUGCGUAGGUGGUGGUUUAAGUCUGCUGUGAAAGCCCUGGGCUCAACCUGGGAAUUGCAGUGGAUACUGGAUCACUAGAGUGUGGUAGAGGGAUGCGGAAUUUCUGGUGUAGCAGUGAAAUGCGUAGAGAUCAGAAGGAACAUCCGUGGCGAAGGCGGCAUCCUGGGCCAACACUGACGCUCAUGCACGAAAGCGUGGGGAGCAAACAGGAUUAGAUACCCGCGUAGUCCCUGUCUCUUAUCA
rnacentral:rRNA from 1 species